CAACGAUCCCUAAAGAUGAAUCAAGCACGCCACCUAAAUCAACUCCUGAAACAAACGAAAACUCCAAGAAAGGGAGAUCAAUGUCUAUCAGUAAUACCGUGAAGAUUGAGUGGAGUAGCAGUCCCAAAAAACAUUCAUUUAAAGAUAGCUUGAAAGAAAUUUUCUGUACCCACGAACCUCCCAUCAUCAGGAAAAUAAAUGGGGCCCAAUUUCCACCUAACACUUUCCAAAUAUCUAUCGCCA